rnacentral:rRNA from 1 species
CAACAUGCCCAGGGGACGUGGAUAACCUCGGGAAACUGAGGAUAAACCGCGAUAGGUCACUACUUCUGGAAUGGGUAAUGACCCAAACCUAUAUGGCCCCUGGAUUGGACUGCGGCCGAUCAGGCUGUUGGUGAGGUAAUGGCCCACCAAACCUGUAACCGGUACGGGCUCUGAGAGGAGGAGCCCGGAGAUGGGCACUGAGACAAGGGCCCAGGCCCUAUGGGGCGCAGCAGGCGCGAAACCUCUGCAAUAGGCGAAAGCUUGACAGGGUUACUCUGAGUGAUUUCCGUUAAGGAGAUCUUUUGGCACCUCUAAAAAUGGUGCAGAAUAAGGGGUGGGCAAGUCUGGUGUCAGCCGCCGCGGUAAUACCAGCACCCCGAG